rfam:Dipodomys ordii contig_40314, whole genome shotgun sequence.
GGGAAGGUGGCUCAGUGGUAGAGUGCUUACCUUGCAAGCAUGAGGCCCUGGGUUCAAUUCCUCGGCUUUUUCC